AAGGGAUUGCCUAGUACGGCGAGUGAAGCGGCAACAGCUCAAAUUUGAAAGCUAGCCUUCGGGUUCGCAUUGUAAUUUGUAGAGGAUGAUUUGGGGAAGCCGCCUGUCUAAGUUCCUUGGAACAGGACGUCAUAGAGGGUGAGAAUCCCGUAUGUGACAGGAAAUGGCACCCUAUGUAAAUCUCCUUCGACGAGUCGAGUUGUUUGGGAAUGCAGCUCUAAAUGGGAGGUAAAUUUCUUCUAAAGCUAAAUAUUGGCGAGAGACCGAUAGCGCACAAGUAGAGUGAUCGAAAGAUGAAAAGCACUUUGGAAAGAGAGUUAAAAAGCACGUGAAAUUGUUGAAAGGGAAGCGCUUGCAAUCAGACUUGUUUAAACUGUUCGGCCGGUCUUCUGACCGGUUUACUCAGUUUGGACAGGCCAGCAUCAGUUUCGGCGGCCGGAUAAAGGCUCUGGGAAUGUGGCCUCCACUUCGGUGGAGGUGUUAUAGCCCAGGGUGUAAUACGGCCAGCCGGGACUGAGGUCCGCGCUUCGGCUAGGAUGCUGGCGUAAUGGUUGUAAGCGACCCGUCUUGAAACACGGACCAA
rnacentral:rRNA from 1 species